rnacentral:lncRNA from 1 species
UUCAAAAGCUUACAUUGGAUUUGUUCUUGGCAAAUAAACUUGAAAUAUUUUCUGUAUUUGCUGAAUCUUGUAAAAGUGUUUCAAAUGAUAAAGGUUUCCAAACUGUGAAAAUAAAGAGUAUCAUGACACAGUGUUGAAAACCAAAAUCCUGAUAAAGUUUAUACAGAAAUUAAUUAUUUCAGCACCAAGGACACCUUAAGUAAAAUAGAGUUAAUAGAAUUCUUGAAGAAAUGAAAAAGACAAUUGUGUAUGAUAGUAAUCUACUUAAAU